AACGCGAAGAACCUUACCAGGGCUUGACAUCCUCUGUAAAGUGCAGAAAUGCACUCCCCAUGGCAACAUGGCAGGGUGACAGGUGCUGCAUGGCUGUCGUCAGCUCGUGUCGUGAGAUGUUGGGUUAAGUCCCGCAACGAGCGCAACCCUCGUCGAGUGUUGCCAUCAUUUAGUUGGGCACUCACUCGAGACCGCCGUUGAUAAGACGGAGGAAGGUGGGGAUGACGUCAAGUCCGCAUGGCCCUUACGUCCUGGGCUACACACGUGCUACAAUGGCCGGCACAACGGGCAGCUAGUUCGCAAGAACAAGCUAAUCCCUUAAAACCGGUCUCAGUUCGGAUUGAAGGCUGCAACUCGCCUUCAUGAAGUCGGAAUCGCUAGUAACUGCAGAUCAGCUACGCUGCGGUGAAUACGUUCCCGGGCCUUGUACACACCGAUACUC
rnacentral:rRNA from 1 species